rnacentral:piRNA from 1 species
UGAGAUGACCCGUCCUACCUACCCAGUC